AUGAAAAAUAUUUUCUAAGCAAUGUCCGAGUCUCUAUUUGCUGUCUGGCAACAUUUAUUCAGACGCCUUUUGUGAUGUCGGACAUGAAAAUGCCUUAAGCUUAGCCUGAAAGCAAUGAAGUCAUAAAAUAAUCAUCCAUAACUUGCAGUAAGCAAC